ACGGCGCAAAAUAUGAACCAAAUUGGCGGGAGUCGUGAUGUUGCAAACAAUCCAAUUGACCUCAAAAAGCUGUCGGGUCAUUACGUCAUCCGGAGAUUCAUCUCGCGUUGCUUUGGAGUCUUCUUCACAAGACACGGUAACAGUACAUCGAUACUUGGUGAGCACAGAGUUUUUACAAUAAAUCCUACUAAAAAUCCAGAAGAUUAUAUUUUUCAAAAAAAUCAAAUUAAAUCGAGCAAAUACACAGUAUGGAAUUUUGUACCAAAAAAUUUGUUCGAACAAUUCCGUCGAGUAGCAAAUUUUUACUUUUUACUAUCAGCGAUAAUCGCGAUGUCCAUUGAAUCGCCGGUGUCGCCAUUCACUACAUUGCUACCCCUAGUAUUUGUAAUUCUAGUAACAGCAUGUAAGCAAGGGUAUGAAGAUUUUUUGAGACACCAAUCUGAUUACCGUGUUAAUGGUACUUCCGUUACUGUUAUACGUAAUAAAUGUAUGCAAGCGAUUAGAUGUGAGCAAAUAAUUGUAGGUGAUUUAGUGAGAGUAUCUAGAGAUGAGGACUUACCCUGUGAUAUUAUUUUACUUUAUAGUAGUGAAUCAAACGGCUCAUGUUACGUAACGACAUCAAAUCUUGACGGCGAAUCGAAUUUAAAAACACUACAAGUGCCAAAAGUGACAUCAAAUAAACCAGUCGAAGAAAUAGUCAGCAUGGAGUGUCUAGUCACUUGUCAGCACCCGCUUUCAAACCUCUACGAGUUUCAGGGGAAAAUAGAAAUAAAAUUCACCGAAGACAAUUUGUCCUCUGGGUUCCUGUCAAUUGACAACAUAUUGCUACGGGGGUCGCGUCUGAAGGACACUGAGUUCAUAAUUGGCGCUGCCGUUUACACCGGCUCUGAUACGAAACUCUCUCUAAACUCAAAACAAACUCCAAAUAAAUUUUCUACCGUCGAGAAGAGUAUUAAUUUGUACCUGAUAUUUUUUAUAGUCGUAUUAAUAUUAGAAAUUAUAAUAUCGACUGUAUUGAAACAAUUUAAUGAUUAUAAUCAGCAGUUGCAUUAUUACCUGGGUAAGAAUAGCGGAACUAGUUUUUCAAAAAUUGUUCAUGAUUUUUUCUCUUUUACGAUUCUCUAUAAUUAUAUCGUACCGAUUUCACUUUAUGUUACUGUUGAACUACAAAAAUUUUUGGGCUCAUUAUUUUUCCACUGGGACUCAAAAAUGUACGACGAGCGCACCGAUCAGCCGGCAUUGGUGAACACUUCUGAUCUAAAUGAAGACCUGGGACAAAUAGAGUAUUUAUUGACUGACAAAACCGGGACUUUGACAGAAAAUUUAAUGGUCUUUCGACGGUGCACUGUCGACGGCAAAAUGUACAUAGAGAAAGACUGCAAUGGAAAAAUAUACGAAUUACCGGCAAACGGAAAUGAACAUGAGGCGAUUAAAGUAAUGACCUGGCCGCCGGAAAUUUGGCACUUCAUGAUUGCAUUGUCGCUCUGUCAUUCCGUCCACGUUGCGCCGCCGAUUGUCAUGGACGGUGUUGUCGCUCGCCGCACAGCAUUUCGUGAGAGUUUUCGACAAAAAACCAUCCGCAGAGUAAACAGUUCACUGUUGAUGGACCCAAGCUUGCCGGAAUAUCAGGCAGCUUCUGCCGAUGAAAAAGCUCUGGUCGAAGCCAGCGCCAGAUGCGGAGUUAUUUUGACAAAAUAUGAAGCCGAUCUAUUGGAAAUAAAAGCUGGAGAUCGUUUUUUACAUUUCACUUGUUUGGAAACGCUGGAAUUUACUUCUGAGCGCAAAAGAAUGUCAGUAAUAGUACAAGACUCAGCUGGUGAAUUAUGGCUGUAUUCAAAAGGCGCUGACUCAGAAAUGUUUCCAUUGAUGCAUGAAGGAAAAAUCCAACAAACUGAAGAGCAUGUCGCUGAUUUUUCACAAAGAGGACUAAGGACACUCGUAGUAGGCUGCAAAAAACUAACGAUCCAAGAAUACGAUAAAUUUAUCCGUCUAGCAGAGCAAGCGAGGCAAAAAAUCGGCCCAGAGCGGUCUAAGCUUGUAGAAGAAGUCUACUUGUCUAUCGAGACGGGGAUGAUGUUGUUAGGGGCCACGGGUAUUGAGGACAGUCUCCAGGAAGGUGUAGAAGAAACAUUGGAAUCUCUCCGUGCAGCCAAUAUAAAAGUGUGGGUUUUAACCGGCGAUAAAGCUGAGACAGCUGAAAAUAUCGCGUUUUCAUGCGGGCAUUUUAAAAGUGGUACUGAAGUACUCAGACUAAUGGGACAAAAAACAUUACAACUUUGUUUCAUUACUUUGACCGGUUACGAACGGAAAAUGAAAUUAGAGCCUUAUAAACAGUAUGGAUUAAUAAUGGACGGCAUGAGUAUGGCGAUAGCUUACAAUCAUUGUCCAGAAUUAUUGAGAAUCGUCGGAAUGACUUGCGACGCAGUUGUAUGCUGCCGUAUGUCGCCGUUGCAAAAAUCCGAAAUCGUACAGUUGAUUAAAAACUCGGCUAGACAUCCUCUGACGGCGGCUAUUGGUGACGGAGGUAAUGACGUAUCAAUGAUUCAAGAAGCGCACGUGGGUAUCGGUAUUAUGGGCAAAGAAGGCAGACAAGCUUCAAUGAAUGCUGACUUCGCUCUUGCUAAAUUUAUGUAUUUAAAACGUGCGUUAUUAAUUCAUGGCCACUGGUAUUAUAUAAGAUUGAGUAUAUUAACUCAGUAUUUUUUUUACAAAAAUGUCGUUUUUAUAACGCCGCAAAUUUUCUUUGGACUUUCCAACGGAUUUUCUUCUCAAGCAUUAUACGAUAGUGUUUUUCUCAUGGGGUUCAAUGUUUUGUUUACGUCAUUGCCAGUUCUUGCUUUUGGUUUACUCGCGCAAGAUCAUUCAGCCCAUAAAUUAAUUACCUAUCCACAGUAUUAUGUAUUAAAUAAAAAAAAUCGAUUGCUGUCAAUUGAACAAACAAUUACUUGGUUGUUCUUAGCGCUAUGGCAUACAGGUGUAAUAUACUUUGGAACCUACACGUAUUUUAAUAUGAAUCUAAUAAAUCUAAGCGGUAAUACAAUGGCUGAUUAUGCGUGUUUCAAUACAUGCAUUUUUCACUUGGUAACACUAGUCACUAAUUUAGAGUUACUAUCUAGGAAUUUAUUUUGGACUUUUCCAUUUGUGUUUAGUAUCAUUUUUUCCGAAUUACUUUUUUUUAUCGUCGCGGCUGCGUACUCGUCAAUAAAUAUUCAAUACAAUGGUCAAAUGUUUGGAGUAUUUAUUAAUUUAAUAUUAUCGCCGUCGUUUUGGCUGCUGACGAUAGUAAUUGUGCCGAUGUGCCUGAUACCAGAUUAUCUUAUUGCCAUUUACGAGAGCUACAGACCUUCGAAAUUGAAUUAUCAAGACGAGCGGGAAGAAAAUAUUCAAGAUAAUUACAGUGAAUGGAGUACACCUUCAUCGGAGGAAAGGAGAUUUAACUGGACUCCUUGGCGCGGUAAUUUUACAUUUGUAAAUACGUAAAAAAAUCGUAUAGAUGUAUCUGAAUUUAUUUUUGUAACUUAACAGGAUGUAAAUAAUGAAUGAAAAAAUUAAAAAAUAAGAACAAAAGUUUAUCGAUAAAAAUGAAAAUUUUAAUUUAAUAAUAAGGACUAGUACAUUUUAAUUAGGGCCGUCGACAAAGGGAAAAAAAUGUUUGAACAAGGCGGUAGAGCUUAACGUGGGUGAUUAUAAAAAUAACGAUAAUGAAUUACUCGACUGCUGGAUAAAUAUAAAUAUUGUUUAGCUUGAAAAGUCUUGACGGGUU